GAGUCUGGUUGCCCAGACCAAGCAGUAACCCUGUUCCAACUUUAUCAGAGAUAACCACACUUACCCCUCCCCUCAUAUCCUUUCAAACUCUAUUGCCUACUGUCCACACACACACACACACACACACAAACAGACAAUUACAUUAUGAAACAUUUUCAUAUUUUGGAGACAAGGUAGUACAGCUACACCGAUAUUGUAGUGUGUUGUUCAACGUCUUAGCUUUAUGUCAUCAUGUUUUUUUUUUAAUCUGCCUGAAGUUUUACAUAAAGUGAACCCUUCCUAAGAGAGAGCAAUGUGACGUCCUAUCCACAAAAUACAUUCUAAAAUCCGUUUUUUUUUUUAGUUUAUUUAAUGUUGUUCUACCCCACCGAAUUUGACUCUAACGAAGUUAAGUGCAGUAGUACAUGUCAUCACUCUUGGUAAAACGUAACGGCAACCGGUGGCUCAGCGAAGACUUCUACAACAUCCGGGCAUUCCACAGCCCUGCGCAGAAACGGAAUGGCGGAGGUCCGAUGGGCUCAGGAGAUCUCAGUCACUGUCUGUCAUACUUUUUGAGCUGGAGAAAUGAAGAACAAGUGUCUGCCACAACCACCAGGUCCCUAGCAAGGGUCUUGAGGAGGCCAGGGGUCCUGCACACAGGGGCUGUAGAGAUGGCGUCUCACCCCCACACAGGCCGUGAGAUGUCUCUGGAGGAGCUGCUAGCGCUCUAUGGCUAUGACAUGCCCAACCCACUCAUCCAGCAGGAACGAGAGUCCAGUGCACUCACAGCCAGUCUGCCAGACAUCACGCUGAACAAGGUGAGCCCUGUAACGCACAACUCCAUACUCAGAGCCACUGGAUUGUACCAAUGAACACUGGCACUGUUUCAUAGCAUCCUUCACAUCUCAACAUUCACACAUAGUUUGUAAACAAAUACAGUUUGUGUCAGUCCGUAACUAAAUUAAUUUGGCCCAUGAGAUAAUUAAGUGCUAUAGCUAUGUUAUGAGUCCGUAUUUGAAAGAACGCAGCCUUGGUCAUUGUCCACACAAGGAACAUACAAAUAGUUUCCCCUGUGUUGUGUUGAGUUAUUGAUGACCCACAAACAAGACAAAUGAUUUCAGGCCUUUAUGAACAGGAUCACAGAUAUGCUGUGGUAAAUAAGGGUUUUCUCAUCCCAGUAUAUACAUUUUUGCUCAGUUGGCCAGUUUGACCUUAAGCGGAGCGGUAUUCUGUCAACUGUUAUCUAAACACAACCAUUUGAUCUGUAGAAUGCCAAGCGGUAUUACAUCUAUAAGUGCGGAGCAGUCUCACAUGGCAGUUCCUAACAUACCAUGUGUCCUUGAGAGACUGACAGUGUGAUUGCACCUUUGGCAGCAAAGCUUGAUAAAACCAUAGCAUAACAUGAGAAUUUUCCACACCACAUUGUGAGCAAAACAGAAACUGUACACGUCAGUGAUGAAUCUCACAAAGGUAAUGGCACAUAUAUAAAUUGACUUUGGGUUGAUUUUGAAUCCAUUGGAACAGCCUUUAACCAAUCAGCAUUGAACACUAUGGAAUUGCUAUACUUCCUACUUUGCCACUAACGUUGCAAACUGAUAUAUUUACCUUUUCCCAAACACCUUGGGCAGUAAGAAAACAAUGUAUUUUCCCAUGAUAAAUUAUUGUACACAUUCUUCUUGCUACGGCUUCAACUCUUUGAUGUAGUAGUGUUGCUAUUAGGGGUGACGCGGAAUAGUGGACUAUUCAGCGGUUCGAUCUAAGGAGCCUGAUUCGACUACUACUCUUACAGUCGAAUCAUCAUGUGGUAAUGGAAAAAGAAUAAUUCCAUUUCGACUGUAUGGGGGGUGCUGAACGUCUAUUUUUAUAAAAGAG
rnacentral:lncRNA from 1 species